rnacentral:rRNA from 1 species
CUGGCUCAGAACGAACGCUGGCGGCAGGCUUAACACAUGCAAGUCGAGCGCCCCGCAAGGGGAGCGGCAGACGGGUGAGUAACGCGUGGGAAUCUACCCUUUUCUACGGAAUAACGCAGGGAAACUUGUGCUAAUACCGUAUGAGCCCUUCGGGGGAAAGAUUUAUCGGGAAAGGAUGAGCCCGCGUUGGAUUAGCUAGUUGGUGGGGUAAAGGCCUACCAAGGCGACGAUCCAUAGCUGGUCUGAGAGGAUGAUCAGCCACAUUGGGACUGAGACACGGCCCAAACUCCUACGGGAGGCAGCAGUGGGGAAUAUUGGACAAUGGGCKCAAGCCUGAUCCAGCCAUGCCGCGUGAGUGAUGAAGGCCCUAGGGUUGUAAAGCUCU